rnacentral:lncRNA from 1 species
GGAAACAAAUUGAAGGGAAGCGGUCUCCAAUCAUGCACAGCAGCCAUGGCAACGAUGAUGGCCGUAGUUCUUUUACUAGGCUACGAGGCUUCAGCGUUUUCAGCUACAACCAGCAACAACACCAAUAGCUCGGCAGCCCAUUGCAGUGGCUCCACCAUGGAGGAAUGUCUGGUCGUCGACCAAACAAAUCUUGGUUUUUUUUCUGAUCCAGAAACAAGCUUGACAGUCCAUUAUCUUAGGGUGACCGAUGGUUCCAUGAACAGGUUCAAUACUCUAGAUGUUCGAUGUCGGAGAGCAAGACCUCAUCAGCCUUAUUACCUUUGCAUCCCA